AUAGCUCAGUGGUAGAGUACAUGCUUAGCAUGCACAAGGUCCUGGGUUCAAUCCCCAGU
rnacentral:tRNA from 1 species